CGGACGGGUGAGUAACGCGUGAGCAACCUGCCUUUCAGAGGGGGAUAACGUUUGGAAACGAACGCUAAUACCGCAUGAGACUACAGUACUACAUGGUACAGUGGCCAAAGGAGCAAUCCGCUGAAAGAUGGGCUCGCGUCCGAUUAGAUAGUUGGCGGGUAACGGCCCACCAAGUCGACGAUCGGUAGCCGGACUGAGAGGUUGAACGGCCACAUUGGGACUGAGACACGGCCCAGACUCCUACGGAAGGCAGCAG
rnacentral:rRNA from 1 species